CCAUGUGGCCUUACCAGCUUGUCAAAGCCUCAUCUCAUCAGAUCUCAGAAGGUAAACAAGGCUAUGCCUGAUUAGCACUUGGAUGGGAGACCGUUGGGAAUAUCAGGUGCCACAGUGG
rnacentral:rRNA from 1 species